UUUAUAUGACAGAAUACAUAAAAGGCAAGAUUCCUUAUUUUCAGGAGUUAGACUGAGGAAGGAGAAACCUUCCCCAAAUAAAGAAAAAAAGUAAUGAUAUAAGUACAAUCAAUCACUGUGUUGCAUCACUAUCAGUGCUGAAAUUAUUCUCUGGCUGAACUUGGAGUACACAUGGGUGAGUGCAAGGGAAGGGAAACUUUAUGAAAUAUCAGAACAAAGGGGACAGUCUGAGGAUAAGAGGCUGGGGGAAGGCAUCUUCAAACACACAAACCCAUGCUACAAGAUCCAUAAGUGUGUGGAUCUGCAGUAUGCAAUGAGCAGUAUUAGGUUCACCUAUAGAGUCUGGUAUUAAAGAAAGGAUAUUUUGGAAAAUUUCCUAUUUGGAAAUGAAAGCUUUGAACUCUGCAAAUGAAGAAUUUACUUCUAAUUUUAGGACAUCAUUAGAGGUCACGAAAGCAAGAAUAAGAGAAAAUAUUGCUAGUAAAAUUGUUGAAUGAAUACGGAACUUGGGAAAUUGAUGACAGUCCAUAAGUUUUUUUUUUUUUUGACAUGCAUGCUACUAAAAUGUUUCUAUUUAAACCUCUUAAAGACCACUGAACUCCUGACAUCAUGUAGAACUCAAAUAAACUCUGAUAGUGUCGCUCACUCUCUUUGUGUUGCUGCCAUAUUUAUUGUCACUGUUUAGGAAUGUGAACAUGUAGGAUGUAGACAUGUAGGAUGCUUGUUUUGGAGCAAUGUGAUCUCUCUAAUGUUGAGGAUUUCUUGGGUGAAGGAGAACAGCGCACUAUCUGGAGCUCCUGAUGAAUUUCCCCAAUACUGCUCUUGACUGGACUCAAUUAGAAUUUUGAAACAGUCCCAGCAAAAGCCAUUGCUAAGCUAUGAAACAGUACAUAUCACAGAAAUUAAAGGAACUGGUUGUAAUACAGGCCCAGUGACAAGAAACUAUGAUGAUAUGAGGCAUUCUUAUUUACGUAAUUGUAAGGUCUAAACUCUAAGUCCAGAAAUACCAACACUGCAGUGUGAAGAUAGGUCAUAUAUGCACAAUUGCAAUCAAUUUCAAUUGCAAUGGAAUCAACAUUGUCAGACAUAGCUACAUGAUUUUCCACCAAAGGAGAUUUGUAAUAGUUGUUUUCUUCGCUCUUCAAGUCAGCAAGGCUUGCAAAGCGCAUUGCUUUUUCCCGGGGUCCUGUAAAUGCCUUCCCUUAAAUGCAAAGAAUUUAGUUUGCACGUGGUGCACAGAAUAGUCAUAUGUUUAGAAAAAAUCAGCGCAUGUCAAGGAGACAUGGUUUAUGGCCAUCGAUCUGGCAUAUCUGAGGAUCAUUCAUAUAAAUAUUUCUCUUUGUCAAAAACAUGAGCAUGAGCUGUGAUCAAGUGUAAUCUGAUCUUUAAAUUCAGCUUAGAUAAGAGUCUCUAAAAUUCCCACCUUAACAGUAGGGGAGACCAUGAAGUAGACAUUGCCUAGGUUUUCUCUCCAGAGCUGCUUCCCUGGGAGAUGGGAAGUGAUUGAAAGACAGUAUGGUGUGUCCAAAUACAUACACUAAGGUCAGGGAAUCACAGAUGUAUCAUCUUCAGUGUAUUCAUUUCUUCCACAAUCCACACAACCUUUUUUAUUUUCAACAAAACACAGAACAUGAACUUCAGACUUUAUAAUGCUUAUAUUUGUAUGAGGUUUUGCUUCUUGAUAGGGAUCAUUUUCUGCAAUAAUUUCUUCCCAGAAAAAGGCUUGUUAUUAAAUUUUAUUCUUCAGUUGAGUUAAUGUCCUACUAUUGUUAUAACAAAGUACCACAAGUAUUGGCUUAAAUCAGUGUACCUUUCUUCUGACAGCUCCUGGCGGAAGUCACAAUCAAGGUGUUGGUACAGUUGAGGUUCCAGAGGAAAUUCAUUUCUUGUGUCAUACUUUUGGCAGUGGUGGUGAACGUAUGACACAUGUGCCACAGUGGGUGAUUUGUUAUCACUGAAAGCUCUAAAUAGUUCGCCAUCGCUGUGAGAUUGUGAGUACCUCUUGUCUCAUGGCCUCAUUACUUGGAUAUCUGAUUUCGUGGGAAUUCCCAUCUCCAAUUUCUUAUUUCCUCUUAUGAGAACUUUUGUGAUUGCAUCAAGUUCACCUUAGCAAUCCAGAGUACUCUCUCUACUCAAGACAUAUACUUCCUUUUUCAAAUAAGGAAAUAAUUUAUUGGUGCUGCUAACUGGCACAAGGGAAUCUCUGAGGGUCAUUAUUCAACUUACUGCACCUUCACAAAUAUAUUGUUGGAUUGGACAACAGUUGAUACUUUUAAAAACUGCUCUAAAUUGCUAAUUGUUUUGGAGUUCUAUACAUUUUAUUACAUAAUCUCACUUUUUUAUUCUUUUUUUCCCGUUACCCUCCCUGCCCUUUCACUGCAAACACUGGGCCUGUCUGGAGCCUCAGAAUUAAAGGAGAGGCUGAUAUUUUUCUGUGAUUUCCUACUAAAGAAUGUUAUCCAGAAGUUGGCACCAUGAGUGGAUUCACACAGCAAUCCUGGGUUCUGGAGUUGAGUCUGAUCUUCAAAAGACUUCCAAGAGCGCCGUAUGUGUCAGAUUCCAUGGACUCAAACGAUUUCUUGCUUUCUCAUAAAAGUCACCAAGAAACUGUGAUCCAGGAAUUUUUAAAGAGAUGUUCUAGAAGAACAAAGAGGAUCUCAAUGAUUACAAACUGUUUCUUCUAAAACUUUCAUCUCUCAGCUUUGCUUUAACACUUUCAGUUCCUUACCUGCUGCUAGUGACAGUUGUUUUUCUCUUAUAUGUACUGCUGUGUCUGCUUUUUACCUUUGUUUUCUUCUAGAAAUUAUGGAAGCAGGUGUCAACUAUCCAUUCUCGUUCUCAUGUGUAUAGCCAACUAACUCUUCCUUAACUGGGCAUGAGUGGUUGUCUGGCUGUCUGUGUAAAGAAGCCUCCUAGCUCUGCUUUUCUCCUUGGAAAAGGGAAGCUCAUGAGAGGUCAGCAUAGCUGUGACCUCAGAUCAACUGUUGAAGUGACCUUGGGUACCUCAUGACUAUAGAAUUAUUAUUUUAUUUUUAGAAAUUGUGACUCGGUGAAAUGUCAUAAGGAAGCCCAGGAAUUUAUGGUCCAUUAAGUAAGAACUUUUGCCCUCUUGAGAGUAUCUGGUGGAAAGCAUCCUGUCACCUUAGCCACAGGGCCAGAGAAAAGACCACCAGGCAUGCGCACCUGCGGUUCGUGGCUCCUCUGGACUCUCCUUCCAGUGACACACAUGACUUCCCAUGACUACCCUGUCCAACAAAGAAGGCCAAGCCUUGCCCAGCUGCUCUCCCUGUGACACAGAGGGUGGAGGAGCAGCAUGGGAGGAGCCUCAGAGAACAAGUGGCCUUUGAAGGAUGUGGCAAAAACAAUAUAGAGCUGAUUCAGAACAAAGAGUGCCAUCUACUGAAAGACCACUUACCUGUCUAGUAAUUUAUCACCCUAUGCUUGUUACCAUGAAAUAGGCUCAAAAUAGCAUCUGGAAAAAAAUGAAAUGGGAGAAAAAGACACAAAGUGUUAUACCAAGGUAACUCUGAUAGGCAGUGGUCAGAGGUGGAAGUUAAAGUCCACUCUUAACCCUUUGGAAAGGGACUGAGGUUGUUUUCCUUCCUGUGGAAUUGUAUGGGAAGAUUCUAAGACAGUCACCUAGAAUGAGGAAAUAACCAUGGAUAUUUAGUCAUAAUUGUUUAGAGGAGUCAAAUCAUUUAAAAAUGACAAAAUGGACCAAAGUAUCCUGGGAUUAAACAAAUGCAUUUGUAGAUGGGGACCAGUAGACCUAUUCCAGGAUGGAGGGUGACGGUACAUGAAUUCAUAAUGUACCCUGGUCCAAGCAGAUUGGUUGGAGAGCAAGGGCCGCAUGCAUUUUGCAGGCACUGUCUCUCACCCUGUUGCCACUUUUUUUCAGGGCUCCAUAUGCUAGAUUGCAGCUACAGAUUUAGCCCUUUUGCCCAAAGGCAUCUGAACCUGUGAAAAGCCUAGCUAGGGCACUGUCUAUUGUUCAUUGACAACUUGUCAAUUUACUUCCAGGCAAAAUAACUCAUAAACAUGAUAAGGAAGGCAGAUAAAACAAGAAUUCUUUCACACUUUGCAACUUUACUGCAAAAAGGGCUUAUUUUCCAUAAAUGUGUGAAUCUCCCCUCUGAAUUGUGACUGUGCACUGAACUUUAAAACUGUUUAGAAACAGCACGAGCGUUUCACAAUUGCUGUCUGUAAUAAGAUGAAUGUUAAAUAUUAAACAUGCAUCAAAAGCGAUAAAAUAAAAGAUUUUUAAAGGUUCAUUCACAUCACAGUAUUUCUGUUUAUUCUGGGUUAAUAAAAGUUAAGUCUAACAAUAAUCUCAAAAAGAAGCACAAUCUUCUACAUUUGGCAUUUUAUAUGUCUAUAUUAGCUAUGUCUAUAUUUUAUAUGUCUAUGUUAUCUGAACCCUUAUGUCAGUAAGAAAAAGCAGAUAUAGUGAACUAUAUUAGUAUUAAAUUCAAAAGCUGGUAUGUGGUGUGUUACCAUAUGUUCAAACUGUAAGGAAGUGGCUUUUAUUUCUGAUUUUUAUAAACAUUCCAUUUCUAAUGUACUGUUUAAAUAGUGAAAGCUAAUUGUGAAUUCUUUUAGGUAAAAUAUUUUAAGUAGAUAAUAAUUUUGAAAUAUAUUAGUCUCUAAGGCAAAGC